rnacentral:rRNA from 1 species
UACGUAGGGGGCGAGCGUUGUCCGGAUUUAUUGGGCGUAAAGAGCUCGUAGGCGGUUUGGCAAGUCGGGUGUGAAAUUUCGAGGCUCAACCUCGAAACGCCACUCGAUACUGCCAUGACUGGAGUCCGGUAGAGGAGUGCGGAAUUCCUGGUGUAGCGGUGAAAUGCGCAGAUAUCAGGAGGAACACCAACGGCGAAGGCAGCACUCUGGGCCGGUACUGACGCUGAGGAGCGAAAGCGUGGGGAGCAAACAGG